rnacentral:lncRNA from 1 species
UAUAGAUAGUUAUUACUAUAUAACAGUUAUAUAAUUAUACCUAAAUUCAAAUUCAGUGUUUGAUUUGAUAUAUUUGAAUUCAACUCUUACAGUUAAAAACACACGAGGAGGCUCAACUGCAGUAAUUAGAACCACGUCCAACUAACUAUAGAAAUUGAAAAAAUUAACUUUAAACAAAGUGUAACCUUACCUAUGUAUUGCCACCCUAUAUAUAAAGUGAUAAAAUUUUAUAAAUACAUUACUCAACUGCAAACAAUCAAACAAUUAAUUCACAGUCGCAACAUUUUCUAUUGCAUCCAACCAAUAAAUCCUUAGUUGCAUCGAGUUAAUCAAGUCCUUGAUACAUCCACGUCGUAUAUGAUACUGGAGCAUCCGAAUCGAUGAUCAAUAUCGGUAAAUAUAAUUUGCGGUACUUAUUCCGUAAUGUUUCGACAUUAUUUAUUAAAUUAAGUUUGGUGCAUUUCAAAUAGUAUUCUCGCUCAACUCUGCAUAUAUAUUUAAAACACUAGUUUUGAUUAAUUGUGUGAACAACUUACAUGCAAUAAUGCUCAUAGAUAAUUUGCGGUACUUGUGCCCUAGAUUAGGUUCGAGACGAAAGUCCACAUUCUAGGCCUACCAAAACACAAAAAAAGGAAAAGGAAAAGGAAAAAAGAAAGAUACAAUCAUCGAUUGCGAAAGCGAUAUGAAUAUUACUCUUAGAAGAUAACAAAGUCGCUAUAGCAGAAGAACAGUACUUUUAUGUCAGAAUCUACAGGGGAGGGAGAGCCUUCAGUAGUAGCUACUAACGUUCGGACGGACGAGGGGUGAAACCACUAGCAUGCACGUAUGAAUGAUACGGCCGCGGAGUGCAAGCAUUUAGCGAGAAAAUAUUCCAGACAACAGUGAUAGUAGCUCAGAUGUCUGCGGUUAAUGACAAAGUUUUAUUGACCGGUUGGGACGGUAGUUUUUUCAGAUGAUCCUUUUCUUUUAUGCGACUGGUUUGGUUAUAGAUAGUUGUUACUAUAUAACAGUUAUAUAAUUAUACCUAAAUUCAAAUUCAGUGUUUGAUUUGAUAUAUUUGAAUUCAAUACUUACAGUUAAAAACACACGAGGAGGCUCAACUGCAGUAAUUAGAACCACGUCCAACUAACUAUAGAAAUUGAAAAAAAUAACUUUAAACAAAGUGUAACCUUACCUAUGUAUUGCCACCCUAUAUAUAAAGUGAUAAAAUUUUAUAAAUACAUUACUCAACUGCAAACAAUCAAACAAUUAAUUCACAGUCGCAACGUUUUCUACUGCAUCUAACCAGCAAAUCCUUAGUUGCAUCGAGUUAAUCAAGUCCUUGAUACAUCCACGUCGUAUAUGAUACUGGAGCAUCCGAAUCGAUGAUCAAUAUCGGUAAAUAUAAUUUGCGGUACUUAUUCCGUAAUGUUUCGACAUUAUUUAUUAAAUUAAGUUUGGUGCAUUUCAAAUAGUAUUCUCGCUCAACUCUGCACAUUUAAAACACUAGUUUUGAU